GACGGAGGGUGCAAGCGUUGUUCGGAAUUACUGGGCGUAAAGGGCGCGUAGGCGGUCUGUUAAGUUCGGUGUGAAAGCCCCGGCUCACCUGGGGAACUGCGCCGGAAACCGACAGACUCGAGUACCGGAGAGGAGGGUGGAAUUCCUGGUGUAGCGGUGAAAUGCGUAGAUAUCUGGAGGAAUACCGGUGGCGAAGGCGGCAUCCUGGACCGGCAUUGACGCGUGAGGAGGCGAAAAGCUGAGGGGAGCAAACGGG
rnacentral:rRNA from 1 species